rnacentral:tRNA from 1 species
UGUAAAGUAAAAUAAAUAUUACUUUUUCAAACUAAAAUGAAGAAAAACUAAUCAUUUCUUUUCUAA